GUCAUAAUGGCAAUGGUGCCUUAAUAUUUUACCUGGCAAAGCCACUUAGUUAUUAAGAUGAAUAACCAUAAGUCAUAAACUCAUAGGAAGCUAGGCACCAUUCAUGUACAUGUUUAGUGUACAAUUGGGGGUGGGGAAUGGAAAUGACAGCGAAGGGAAAGGAACAAAAAGGAAGAGAGGAUGAGGCAGAGAGCGGAGAAGAAGGUCUCUGAUGCUGAUCCUUAUUUUUCAGUGUGGACCAUGCACAGACUCAUCUACUCACCUGAGGAUUAUGAGGAUUAUGAGUUUUAUGGAGCAAAAUUUGCCUAGAACAGGUUGUCAGCUUCUGUGGACACAGUCUUCUACCCUCAGAAAUCCCAUUGGAAGAAAGAACAAAUGAAGCAUCCCAAGGACUGGAGGAUUCUCUUCCCCCAGGGUAUUCAAGGAAGACACUGGGGAACAAAUUGAACAAAGUUUAUUUCAUCAACAAUGAAAAAUGCCCAGAAGGAAAUGAAGCACAAGAUUCAGUUACACAAAGAUGAAAGCUAUUGACCACUUGGCCACUUCUCAUACUAAAAGAGAAGGAAAUAACACGAAGUACUGGAAGUGACAUUAUAUUGUCCUCAUGGUGACAACCAGGAUGGGCCUGACAUAAGCCAGUCCAGGCUGUAUGUGUGGCCCGAGUGCACACAUGCGGUUUCUCUGGCCACCGAAUCAGAACCAGCUGGGCCCCACAAGUCAGUCUCUGGGGGCUGUGAUUCUGCAUUGCAAACAAGUCCUUGGGUAGCUCUCAGGGUUCACCAAGAUUUGAGAACCACUAGUGUGGCUGACUCCAGUGAAACAGUCCCACUUUUACUGCUUUCAACUGUCAUUUAUAUAGAUUCAGGCAAAGAAUGGUUUUUAGAAUGAUGCCCGAUGUAGCAAAUAAAAUGAUCUCAA
rnacentral:lncRNA from 10 species